rnacentral:rRNA from 1 species
UACAGAGGGUGCAAGCGUUGUUCGGAAUUAUUGGGCGUAAAGAGCUCGUAGGCGGUUUGUCGCGUCUGCUGUGAAAACCCGAGGCUCAACCUCGGGCCUGCAGUGGGUACGGGCAGACUAGAGUGCGGUAGGGGAGAUUGGAAUUCCUGGUGUAGCGGUGGAAUGCGCAGAUAUCAGGAGGAACACCGGUGGCGAAGGCGGGUCUCUGGGCCGAUACUGACGCUGAGGCACGAAAGCGUGGGGAUCAAACAGG